UGAUGGCCUCCAAGAGGAGCUAGCAAAGUCUCUGAAUGAACUCUCUGGACUGUCCAAGCAAAAAGAAUCUGCUGAAGUUGCUAAACAUGAAGCUCUUGAGCGUUUAGAAAAGUUAUCUUCCAUUCACUCUGAAGAAAGAAAGAACCAAUUAGCUGAAAUUACAAUGCUAAAAUCUGGUGUGGAUCAGCUUGGGAAGGAUCUCUAUGUUGUUG
rnacentral:misc_RNA from 1 species